CACACCUGGGGAUCUUGGGAAAAUGCAGAUUCUGAUUCAGUAAGCCUGAGGGGGGUCUGAGAGUCUGCAUUCCUCACAAGCUCUCAGGUGGUGCUGA
rnacentral:pre_miRNA from 1 species